rnacentral:rRNA from 1 species
UGCCAGCAGCCGCGGUAAUUCCAGCUCCAAUAGCGUAUAUUAAAGUUGUUGCAGUUAAAAAGCUCGUAGUUGAAUUUCGGGAUCAAUAUGUCGGUCGUGCCAUUGGUACGUACUGGUAUCAUUGAUUUCUCCUUUCUGACGAACCAUGAUGUCAUUAAUUUGGUGUUAUGGGGAGUUAGGACUGUUACUUUGAAAAAAUUAGAGUGUUUAAAGCAGGCAUUAGCUUGAAUACAUUAGCAUGGAAUAAUGAAAUAGGACGUUUGACCCUAUUUUGUUGGUUUCUAGGAUCGACGUAAUGAUUAAUAGGGAUAGUUGGGGGCAUUAGUAUUCAAUUGUCAGAGGUGAAAUUCUUGGAUUUAUUGAAGACUAACUACUGCGAAAGCAUUUGCCAAGGAUGUUUUCAUUAAUCAAGAACGAAAGUUAGGGGAUCGAAGACGAUCAGAUACCGUCGUAGUCUUAACCAUAAACCAUGCCGACUAGGGAUCGGAUGAUGUUAAUUUUUUAAUGACUCA